rnacentral:lncRNA from 10 species
CACUCCAUUUGGACUGAUGGCAGAGGCUUGGGGUGGGGACUCCAGGCCAGCAGGAGGCCCAGCAGAUCUCAUUGCUGCAGGGUGGCUGGCUGGCCUCAAGGACAUAUGAGUUGUCUCUCUCCUGCUGUGGGCAACUGGCAAGCAGUGAAGGGGACUCCCAGGAGGAACCAGGGAGAACUUGAGGAGGUCUGAGAAAGCAACCAAGAUCUAGAGAGGUGAUGUGACUUAUGGGAGACCCCAGAGUAAACUGGUGGCAGAAGAAAGACCAGAUCCAGCCCUCUGACUCCCUCAUUCCAAGGGAAGAUCACACACUAUCAAUCAGAAGCUGACUGAGUGCUCUGGCAUCAUCAGUACAAACUUGUUAGUGCCUCUCAGGGUGAAGCCAUAUGCAGUCUAACUUCUGGAGGCACAGAACUUCCUAAGAAGGCUGGAUCAGGAGACUCCACCUCCCUGUGGACUAGACAACAGCUCUUCCCCUAAGGCUACCUAACAGAGCUGGCGGGCUCUGAGCCUUCUUGCCAUGUGUUGUUGGGAUUUGAAUUUCUUGGCACCAGCCCAGAGCUCUCAUGGAGGUUCACCUGAGUUCUGAGUGAGCUGGGCAUAAGGAAUUGCUGGGAGGCCACAAACACUGGAAUUAGUAAAUCGGGGAGUGUGGCAAGGGAAAGCAGUUAUAGGCACCAUGCUUCAAAUCAGGACACCAGACGCAUACGCCAGGCUGAUGGGUAAUCUGGGACCUGGCUGCCAGUGAGUUAAGAUGACCUUGAAAUAACAGCUAAAGAGCAAACAUGAAGCAAAUAGGCAGGCCUCCACCUCUGGCUAACCUCC